rnacentral:rRNA from 1 species
CCUACGGGAGGCAGCAGUAAGGAAUAUUGGUCAAUGGACGAAAGUCUGAACCAGCCAUGCCGCGUGAAGGAUGAAGGCCCUCUGGGUUGUAAACUUCUUUUAUCUGGGACGAAAAAAGGGUAUUCUUACCCACUUGACGGUACCAGAGGAAUAAGCACCGGCUAACUCCGUGCCAGCAGCCGCGGUAAUACGGAGGGUGCAAGCGUUAUCCGGAUUCACUGGGUUUAAAGGGAGCGUAGGUGGGCUGAUAAGUCAGUGGUGAAAUCUCCGGGCUUAACCCGGAAACUGCCAUUGAUACUAUUAGUCUUGAAUUAUCUGGAGGUAAGCGGAAUAUGUCAUGUAGCGGUGAAAUGCUUAGAUAUGACAUAGAACACCAAUUGCGAAGGCAGCUUGCUACGGAUUGAUUGACACUGAGGCUCGAAAGCGUGGGGAUCAAACAGGAUUAGAUACCCUGGUAGUCCACGCCCUAAACGAUGGAUACUCGACAUCAGCGAUACACUGUUGGUGUCUGAGCGAAAGCAUAAGUAUCCACCUGGGAAGUAACGACCGCAAGGUUGAAACUUCAAAGGAAUUGACGG